ACAGGGAAGCUGCUCGGCAAAGUCCACGGCUCGACUCUGUCACAAACGUAUGGAGAGAACUGUGGCAAAGAGAUGUAGGAAGUGGACACUGAUUGUGCCAGUGGUUUUUCUAAAGAAUUGGUCACAUCUUAUACCACCUAGAAGAGAGCUACUAAGGCCGAUGAAGGUCUAAGCUCUUGGCAAAAGGGAAACACAAAGAAUUCAGGCCCUAACAGGCCUCCUUACUCGGACCCUCCUACCCGGUGGCUACCUAAACCAAACUUGGCUUCCCAGAAUUGGCUGACAGAGCAAGGACUUGUUUAAUUCGUCACGGGCUCCCGCUGACCUGAGGGCAUACAGGACCGUGCCGUUGGAGAAGAGGCGAAUGAGCCUGUUUCCCACAGUGACUUCGUGGAGGAAGGACUUCUUGGACUCCACGAUGUAGGUGUCUGGCACCCAGAGGAACUCCACGAGGCGAGCGUCCAGCGUGAAGCUCUUGUUGCCCUCGAACACCAGCCGCUGGUCCGUCCAGCGCUGUCGCAGAAAUAACCCCUCGUGGAUGCCACCGGGGACUGUGACAAUGCAUUAACCAGGAAGAAGAGAGGGAGAUUUCGAAAGAAGCUUAAAAACAUGUAAUCAGUAGGAAUCCGGCAAAGCAACUUGAUUAUUAAUUUAAGAAAACCAAGGCAUUGAACAUAGGUAGGAAUUUGGAAAUGAAGUUUUAGAGUAAAUGCAAUUAAAAAAUAAUUCAGUGUUAAUACUUGGUGGAAAAGGGGGAGAUCUUUGCGGGCAGACCCUGGAAGGUGCUGAAGGGGUGUGGCUGCUAAAUAGCUCUCUGCCCCUCUGGACAGCAAGGUGCAGCUCAAGAUGAGGAACUUGGAGUCAAAGAUGGGGGUGUUUGAAUCUCACACUGGCCGCUUAACAGCCUUGUGACCUUGAGCAAAUUGCUGGGCCUCUCUGUGCUGCGGUUUCUCACCUGUAAAAUAGAGUUACCGGUGCUGCCAUGGUUUGAAUGUUUGGUCCGUCCAAAACUCAUGUUGUCAUUUAAUUACCAUUGUAAUAGUAUUAAGGUGAGACCAUUAUGAGGGGACUAGGCCCUGAGGGUUCCACCCUUACGGCUGGGAUUGACGGGCGAGUUCAGGACGCUGUAGCCCUCUAUCUUGCUCUCGUGCCUCCGCUGCGUGGUGAUGCAGCAGGAAGGCCCUUUCCAGAAGCUGCCAGCUUGAUACUGGACUUCUCAGCCUCUACUGUGAGCAAUAAACUCCUGGUCAGUAUAAACCACCCAGUCUCCGGUAUUCUGUCUUAGCAGCACAAACAGCCCAAGACAUCGGGGUGGGGUUGGGUUGGGAAGGUCACAGCACCGAUUUAAGUGCUAUUGGUCAAUGCUAGAUGCCCUCCCCGAAGAAUGUAGGGAAUGGGAAACACACA